UACGGAGGGUGCAAGCGUUAUCCGGAUUCACUGGGUUUAAAGGGUGCGUAGGCGGAUAGGUAAGUCCGUGGUGAAAUCCUGCAGCUUAACUGCAGAACUGCCAUGGAUACUAUUUAUCUUGAAUGUCGUGGAGGUUAGCAGAAUAUGUCAUGUAGCGGUGAAAUGCUUAGAGAUGUGGAGGAACACCGAUGGCGAAGGCAGCCUCCUGGGCCAACACUGACGCUCAUGCACGAAAGCGUGGGGAGCAAACAGG
rnacentral:rRNA from 1 species